CCUGCCCAAUGAGGAUUUAAAUGGCCGCAGUAUUUUGACUGUGCAAAGGUAGCAUAAUUAUUAGUUUUUUAAUUGAAAGCUUGUAUGAAGGGUUGGACGAGAUAAAAACUGUCUUUAUUUAAAUGAAAAUAAAAUUUAACUUUUAAGUUAAAAGGCUUAAAUAGUUAUAAAAGACGAGAAGACCCUAUAGAUCUUUAUUUAAUUUAAGAUUUUAAUAGUUUAAGAUUAUUUUAAUGUAAAGUUUUAAUUAAAUUUUAUUGGGGUAAUAUAAAGAUUUAAAUAAUUCUUUUUAUUUAUAACAUUAAUUUAUGAAUUUAUGAUCCAGUUAUAUUGAUUAUAAGAUUAAGUUACCUUAGGGAUAACAGCGUAAUUUUUUUGAAGAGUUCAUAUCGAUAAAAAAGUUUGCGACCUCGAUGUUGGAUUAAAAAUUAUUUUAGGUGUAGAAGCUUAAAAUUUUGGUCUGUUC
rnacentral:rRNA from 1 species